CCUACGGGAGGCAGCAGUGAGGAAUAUUGGUCAAUGGGCUUACGCCUGAACCAGCCAAGUCGCGUGAGUGAUGAAGGUAAUUUUAUUGUAAAGCUCUUUUCUUUGGAACGAAUAAAUGACGGUACCAAAGGAAUAAGCCCCGGCUAACUACGUGCCAGCAGCCGCGGUAAUACGUAGGGGGCAAGCGUUGUUCGGAAUGACUGGGCGUAAAGGGUGGGUAGGGGGUUUGAUAAGUUAGAUGUGUAAUACCCAGGGCUUAACUCGGGUGCUGCAUCUAAAACUGUUAGACUUGAGUACUGGAGAGGAUAGUGGAAUUCCUAGUGUAGCGGUGGAAUGCGUAGAUAUUAGGAGGAACAUCAGUGGCGAAGGCGACUAUCUGGACAGCAACUGACACUGAGGCACGAAAGCGUGGGGAGCAAACAGGAUUAGAUACCCCUGUAGUC
rnacentral:rRNA from 1 species